rnacentral:rRNA from 1 species
AUUGAACGCUGGCGGCAGGCCUAACACAUGCAGGUCGAGCGGAUGAAGGGAGCUUGCGCCUGGAUUCAGCGGCGGACGGGUGAGUAAUGCCUAGGAAUCUGCCUGGUAGUGGGGGAUAACGUCCGGAAACGGGCGCUAAUACCGCAUACGUCCUGAGGGAGAAAGUGGGGGAUCUUCGGACCUCACGCUAUCAGAUGAGCCUAGGUCGGAUUAGCUAGUUGGUGGGGUAAAGGCCUACCAAGGCGACGAUCCGUAACUGGUCUGAGAGGAUGAUCAGUCACACUGGAACUGAGACACGGUCCAGACUCCUACGGGAGGCAGCAGUGGGGAAUAUUGGACAAUGGGCGAAAGCCUGAUACAGCCAUGCCGCGUGUGUGAAGAAGGUCUUCGGAUUGUAAAGCACUUUAAGUUGGGAGGAAGGGCAGUAAGUUAAUACCUUGCUGUUUUGACGUUAACAACAGAAUAAGCACCGGCUAACUUCGUG